CAUGCGAGUCGAGAGGGUUCGGCCCUCGGCAGACUGCUCAGUAACACGUGGAUAAUCUGCCCUUAGGUGGAGGAUAAUCUCGGGAAACUGAGGAUAAUACUCCAUAGGUCUAGGAUGCUGGAAUGCACCUAGGCUUAAAACUCCGGUGCCUAAGGAUGAGUCUGCGGACUAUCAGGUAGUAGUCAGGGUAAUGACCUGACUAGCCUACGACGGAUACGGGUUGUGAGAGCAAUAACCCGGAGACGAUAUCUGAGACACGAUAUCGGGCCCUACGGGGCGCAGCAGGCGCGAAACCUUCACACUGUGCGAAAGCGCGAUGAGGGGAUCCCAAGUGCUUGCUCUUAGGAGUAAGCUGUUUCUCUGUUUAAAACGCAGGGAGAGGAAGGGCUGGGUAAGACGGGUGCCAGCCGCCGCGGUAAUACCUGCAGCUCAAGUGGUGACCGCUAUUAUUGGGCCUAAAACGUUCGUAGCCGGCUGAGUAAAUGCCUGGGUAAAUCGUGCCGCUUAACGGUACGAAUUCCGGGUAGACUGCUUAGCUUGAGACCGGGAGAAGCUAGAGGUACUCCUGGGGUAGGGGUGAAAUCCUGUAAUCCUGGGGGGACCACCAGUGGCGAAGGCGUCUAGCUAGAACGGGUCUGACGGUGAGGAACGAAACCCUGGGGCGCAAACCGGAUUAGAUACCCGGGUAGUCCAGGGCGCAAACGCUGCUUGCUUGAUGUUAGCUGGGCUCCGAGCUCAGCUAGUGUCGGAGUGAAGAUGUUAAGCAAGCUGCCUGGGAAGUACGAUCGCAAGAUUGAAACUUAAAGGAAUUGGCCGGGGGAGCACAGCAACGGGUGGAGCGUGCGGUUUAAUUGGAGUCAACGCCGGAA
rnacentral:rRNA from 1 species